UAUGGGCACGAAACCAAGGGU
rnacentral:misc_RNA from 1 species